CCUACGGGUGGCAGCAGUGAGGAAUAUUGGUUAAUGGGCGGAAGCCUGAACCAGCCAAGUCGCGUGAGGGAAUAAGGCCCUACGGGUCGUAAACCUCUUUUGCCGGGGAGCAAGGGCCGGGACGCGUCCCGGCCCGGAGAGUACCCGGAGAAAAAGCAUCGGCUAACUCCGUGCCAGCAGCCGCGGUAAUACGGAGGAUGCGAGCGUUAUCCGGAUUUAUUGGGUUUAAAGGGAGCGUAGAUGGGUUGUUAAGUCAGUUGUGAAAGUUUGCGGCUCAACCGUAAAAUUGCCGUUGAAACUGGGGGGCUUGAGUAUGUUUGAGGCAGGCGGAAUGCGUGGUGUAGCGGUGAAAUGCUUAGAUAUCACGCAGAACCCCGAUUGCGAAGGCAGCCUGCCAAGCCAUGACUGACGCUGAUGCACGAAAGCGUGGGGAUCAAACAGGAUUAGAUACCCCUGUAGUC
rnacentral:rRNA from 1 species